rnacentral:rRNA from 1 species
UACAGAGGUCUCAAGCGUUGUUCGGAUUCAUUGGGCGUAAAGGGUGCGUAGGUGGCGUGGCAAGUCUGAUGUGAAAUCCCGGGGCUCAACCCCGGAACUGCAUUGGAUACUGCCAUGCUUGAGCACUGGAGAGGAGACUGGAAUUUACGGUGUAGCAGUGAAAUGCGUAGAUAUCGUAAGGAAGACCAGUGGCGAAGGCGGCGCUCUGGGCCGGAACUGACGCUGAGGAGCGAAAGCGUGGGUAGCAAACAGG